CCUACGGGAGGCUGCAGCGGGGAAUAUUGCACAAUGGGCGCAAGCCUGAUGCAGCCAUGCCGCGUGUGUGAAGAAGGCCUUCGGGUUGUAAAGCACUUUCAGCGGGGAGGAAGGCGGUGAGGUUAAUAACCUCAUCGAUUGACGUUACCCGCAGAAGAAGCACCGGCUAACUCCGUGCCAGCAGCCGCGGUAAUACGGAGGGUGCAAGCGUUAAUCGGAAUUACUGGGCGUAAAGCGCACGCAGGCGGUCUGUCAAGUCGGAUGUGAAAUCCCCGGGCUCAACCUGGGAACUGCAUUCGAAACUGGCAGGCUAGAGUCUUGUAGAGGGGGGUAGAAUUCCAGGUGUAGCGGUGAAAUGCGUAGAGAUCUGGAGGAAUACCGGUGGCGCAGGCGGCCCCCUGGACAAAGACUGACGCUCAGGUGCGAAAGCGUGGGGAGCAAACAGGAUUAGAUACCCCAGUAGUC
rnacentral:rRNA from 1 species